GUGUGCUAGACGGGGAAGUAGCGGCGCCCUGUAGCCCGGAAUCCGCUCCACCGGGGUCGAAUCCCACCAGCGGACCGAACCAUUUUUUGUGUCGAUAAAGCAAGCGGCGUCGAAGGUCAGGCCCUGUACAAUGGCGACGCACCGAAUCCCGCCAGGACCGGAAGGUAGCAACGGUAGGUGAUGCUCGGUAUGUGUUGCGGGAUCGCCGGACUGGAGCCGGCUACUUUGGAAACCUUGAACUGGAGGGACAAUGGUGGGUGCACAC
rnacentral:SRP_RNA from 1 species